GGCUGGGGGAGGGAAGCCAUGCGGCCGGGUGAGGUAGUCCGGAGCCUCAGGCAGAGGAGGGGGGUGAAGGCCUUGCAAGAUGGAAGGGUGGAAGAGCCCUGAGAAGCAUCGGGGGCUCCCCCUAUCCACUGAGAGAUAGAGAGGGAGAGCCAGUGCCUGUGCUGCCUUGAACUUCGAUAUCAUGGACUGGCAGCACGGCCGGCCAGAAGUGGGGGAUGCAGCGAGAGAAGGUGCCCGGCAGCUGUGGGAGUUCUGGGCAGACAGAGGCAAAGAUUUUAACCCCUUUGUUGAAUAAUGGAAACCUUACAAAUACUGAUUCUCCUGAAUCAGAAUGAGGAGAGAGAGAUGAAGCAUGACGAAGUGAGCAAGUGUGAGGAAAGUUGGUGCAUGUGAGAGAUGUCAGAAGAGGUGAGAAGAAUCCUAGGUGGGAAGAGGUGAUGGAGUGGCCUUGAGCUGGACUCUUUCUUGUAUGGCCAUGGACAGACCCGUGUUUUUCCUGUGACCCAGAGACUGUAUUUAGGGGGAGGCAAUGCCUUGGAGUCAAGAGUGAAGCAGUGGCGUGAACAGAGAUGGCUGAGGAGGGUUUGGGAUGUCCUCUGUCUCCGUGGAGGGGAAGAUCUCUGUUCACGAGGCCCCUCAGCCCCAGGGGCUAAAUUUGGGGGGGACUGGUGUCCCGAAGUUGAGAGACUGCUGCUUUUGGAACUGGGUGGAGCAUCCUUAAAUGGAGAAGCCUAAAAGGAGUCCUGGCCCAUGUGCAGUGGUGAGAGCACUGGGGGGGAAGAAGUCACAAGGGCAGAUGUUCUCUGGGUGAUGCCACAGGUGACACGGCAACACAAGAGGUUUCAGUUGUGUUUCCGGGGGGAAGCCUGUGGUGCAAGGGGGGACCUCCUCUCUCCCUGAUGGAUUUGAGGGUUGAUUAUUUGAGGGGGAUGAUGGACUGAAAUUUGACUAUCUGAGAGAUGGUGACAGGGUGGGAAUCUAUGGUGUUAUUUCAUUCUAUGGAGAAAAUGGAGGGGAGGAGGAGGAAUGUAUUUGGAGGGUUUUCAUUCUUCAUUCUUUGUCUGUUUCUUUUUCUUUAGAUGUUAUAAUUAAUAAAAUUUGUUUCCUUUAUUCCUAAAUUGGAGCCUGCUUUGCUCUGUUCCUGAUCACAUCUCACAGAAGCCACUAGAGAAAGUAUCUUUUCAUGGAGGCACUGGCACUGUGCCAGAGUCAAACCAUGACACCCCUUCAGCAGCCCAACCCACUGGAAGGGUCAUGGAGCAGCCCCUGGAUUUUGGCCUUCCAGCCCCUUCUUAUGAUCCUUUCAUUAAAAGGGUCAGACAUGCCUCUGCCCAAAUUAAGGUGCCAAUGGCAUCAGAUGCCCAAGCCAAAAGGACAGGUUUUACUGAAGGGAAAAUGAGAGAACAAGACAGAGACAGAGAGAUAGAAAAAGCGUGACAGAGACAGAUGAAGUAGAAAAUUUAACAAGUAGGAUUUGAUUUGUAUUGUGUCACAGUUGAGUUGGUUGUUGUGACCUUGGGAAAGGGAGUUACUGAUUUGCAAAGGGUUGGUCAAUGUUCUUUGUGGGUUCAGGAGGGUCCAGGAUAAAGUGGGGGUUGGUCCAAAGGGGCAGAAUGACAUCCAGAAACAGAUUCAGCGCAAUAAAACCAGUGCUGCAGAAGGAGAUUGGAUGAAAGACCUAACCAAUCAUUCGAUGCCCCACAGAAAUGAUUGGUCAGCAAUGAACGACAAUAAAGACCAAUAGGAACACCAGAAACUAGCCAAUCACCGCGUGGAUCCAAAACCCACCAAUCCUGGACCUGAAGGGGGCUAAUAAAAAUAGGAGUUCUGUUGAGUUCGUGGUUCUUUUGAGGAACUCGCUUCCUUGAGAACCCAGUGUGUAUGUGAGGUAGACACACUGUUGUUUUUUAGACUUUUUUUGUGGGGGUCUGAGCCUGUUUCAGGCCUUCUGUCUCCCGUCAUGCCUCUAAAUGGUCUGGGGUGGCCAGGACCUGGAAGACGCGUCUGGCCACUUUUUUGGCUGCCAGGCACUGGACUACGUUGGGACUGUGAAAGAGAUUGCUGCUUGUACCUGAGGCUACAGGGGAGACAACAACUCAAAAAGGUGCAAAGAAAUGUGAGCUAGAGAAAUGGAAAGAAAGAGGAAAGCGGUCUCAGAGAGAGAACAAGAGAGCAGAAGGUAAUCAGGUAAAGAACUAGAUGAUGCUCAAGGCCCUUGCCAAGCGAAAUCAUUCCAUGAUUCUAGAUGAUAUGUGGAUGUGUAUUUUAACUUGAUAUGACCAUUAUUAUUAUUAUUAUUAUCAUUUUAAUGAUUUUCUUUAUUCAAUACUACUACUAUUUCAAUUUCUUCUUUGUCUUCUUCUUUUUCUUCUUCUUCUCCUUCCUAGACUUCUUAUGAGUAUUGUUCACUAUACUAUCAAAAUUUCUUCUUCUAAUUCUUCUAGUUAUUUUAAUUCAUCUAAUUCUAAUUCAUCUAAUUCUGCUUAUUAUUAUUCCUAUGCUUAUUCUUCUUCUUUCCUACUGUUACUUCUAUAUCUUCUUCUCCAUUACUACUACUAUUCUUAAUCUUCUUUUCUUUAUUAUUCUUGUCCUAUUUUUUUCUGCUUUACAUAUUUUCUUUAGAUUGUUAAAAUAAUUUUUGAUUUUUUAAGCUUUUUUUGAGUAUUUUUUUUUUUUUUAGAUUUUUUUUUUGGGCUUUCUUUCUAUUUUUUCCUAGUACCCUUCCUUAUAGCUGAUAUUAGUUUGUUUUUGAAGAGUUCAGUGUGUUAGAGUCCUGCAGUGUGCUGUGGGGUCUAGGGAACAGUACCUCCUGUCUGUUCCCAUUCCUCAUGGAUAAAAUGCCACAGGAUCAGCAUGCUGUCCUUUCCGGGUUAGAGGAAAUGGCCUUGGAUUCCAGCAGGGGGGGCUUCUGAUAAAAGAUCAGAAUCACUUGUUCCCCCUGCCUGAGUGGUCAGGCAUUGGAAGGAGUUGACUUGGCCGGUGUCGGAGUCACUGUUCCUGGAAGUGUCCAGGAGUUGUCUUCAUGGGGCACCUGGGGACAUGCUUUGGGGCUGAUGCUGCUGGUGCCAGGUGCACCAGUGGGAGUGGAUGACUUCCAAGGUCUCUUCCCACCAGGAUGGUUGUCUGUGAUACACCGCUGAGCCACCUGGCCCCAAGUGCCACCCAUGGUGGCUGGUUUGGGGCCGGCCCCAUGGGUGAAACUUGGUCUUGAGGAGGAGAUGCUCUUGGGAUGCUCCAGAGCAGCCGGGGAUUGCUGAGGCUGCAGGCACAUGCUGAGGGAAAGGCAGCCCCUGUGGCUCCCUCAGGACGCUGGGCAGGCUGCGGGCCGGCCGCCGUCUGCGGGGCCGCUCCUGGUGCCAGCAGCGGGCACUAAUCCUGGGGCUGCGGCGCCAGGCAGGGGCAGCGGAAGAGGCUGCGCAGCGCCCGCAGCGCCCGCCUGAAGCGGGAGGGACG